rnacentral:lncRNA from 1 species
UUUAUUUAAGUAAGAGACAAACCCUAAACUCAGAUACAGAAGUAGACUGGAUGUAUGCAUCCAUAUGUGAGUGUGAGUGAAUGGCUUUGCAUAUAUAUAUAUAUACAUACGUAUGAUGUAUAUAUGUAUACUGAAGAAAACUAAAAAAGAAAAAUAUUUCGUAUCUCUCUAAUGGAAGUCUGGGAACAGCAUGCCAUCGUGCGGCGGGAUGCAAUGCUCUCAGCGACUCAGACUGCAAUGGCCAUGCCUUGCUGUUGGGAGGGAAACCUAUCUUUUCAAACAGUUUCCUCCUUGGCGUUUCUGCACCUUUCGGACCCCA